rnacentral:lncRNA from 1 species
AUGAGAACGCGGAGGGGCCGCCGCGUUCCACUGUUGCUGCGCGACCCCAGCCGGGGCGUUCCAGAGUCGCUACGAAGCGCCUGGUCGGGUCCGGUCCCUGCGGAGCCGUUUGCCCCGGAGCCAGACCCCCUUCCCGGCACGGCCAGGCAGCAUGGCCGACAUGGAGCUGGACGGGGGCCGAGCCACCCUGGAGGAGGAUGGCAGCAAACCCGAUCUGGAGACAGCGGAGCCGCCGUCCUGUCCUGAGACUGCAGGCGCCCGGGCAAAGGACCAUUGCGAUUCCCUACUGGACUCCAUCGACGCUCAGCUCAGCCAGCUGCUGUGGCAGGGCCGUGGUGCAGGAGUCGCGGGUGGGCGCACGAAUGGAGACACCUCCUUGGAAUGCUCCCCCAAGGCCCCCCGGGCAGCAGAGAUGGAAGGAUGCUGUGCAAACCAGGACGGCACCCCCUGGGACGAAGCCGGCCCCUCUCGGAAGGAGGAGUACGGCUGGAGGCUGAUGCAUCUCCUUGGCUCUGAGCAAGCCCCGGAGAACCUGGGGGACCAGAGCGACUCGAAUUCCAUCUGCACGGAGGACUUUGCUGCGACGUUUCGGGAAGGCAUGGUCGACCCCCUGGGGAAUUCCGAUGGGGAAGGGGAUGUGCCAGCUGGGGGUUUCCCAGCCGGAGACUCUGCUGAGGAAGGGCGCGUCACGGGAAUCAAAGCCAGGCCCGCUGGUCUCUGCCCCACCGUGGAGGCGUGUGGGGCCGCUGCAGAGGGCUUCAUGCUCAAUACAGCGAAGAGGCCGCACAUCCUGCAGCGGUUUGAGGAGGGGCUAGAAGGGGACUCAGCCCUGGCUUUGUCCAGCAGCGUGGAAGGGCCCCAGUCCCUGAGCUCCAGGACCAGGAGAGAGAGCCUGGAGU